CCUACGGGUGGCAGCAGUGAGGAAUAUUGGUCAAUGGACGAGAGUCUGAACCAGCCAAGUAGCGUGAAGGAUGACUGCCCUAUGGGUUGUAAACUUCUUUUAUAUGGGAAUAAAAUGUUCCACGUGUGGGAUUUUGUAGGUACCAUAUGAAUAAGGAUCGGCUAAUUCCGUGCCAGCAGCCGCGGUAAUACGGAGGAUCCGAGCGUUAUCCGGAUUUAUUGGGUUUAAAGGGAGCGUAGGUGGAUUGUUAAGUCAGUUGUGAAAGUUUGCGGCUCAACCGUAAAAUUGCAGUUGAAACUGGCAGUCUUGAGUACAGUGGAGGUGGGCGGAAUUCGUGGUGUAGCGGUGAAAUGCUUAGAUAUCACGAAGAACUCCGAUUGCGAAGGCAGUUCACUGUACUGCAACUGACACUGAGGCUCGAAAGUGUGGGUAUCAAACAGGAUUAGAUACCCCGGUAGUC
rnacentral:rRNA from 1 species